CACGCCUGUGUGGCCAUCCAUAUGGUCAUGAAACCACCCAUAAACAACUUGGAAAAUGAAUUUUUUAUUCACCAAACCGACCCUCCAUCAAUGGGAUUCAGAAACAUACCAACAUAUACAAAUUUCCGUGACAUUCAACAAUAUUACCGAACAUCGACAACCAAUUUCCAAAAAAAAAAAGAAAAAAAACACACAUAGGUUGCCCCACUCCACCAAAAUCAAACUUACAAUUCACAUAUAAAAUUGAAAGGUCUCGAAACCCACACCUAAAUCAUGAUCAAAGAUGUCCAAACAUUGACUCAACGACCCCAGUGCAAAAUUCUUCAAAACCCACUAGCAAAACUACUUUCCAAGAAAAAGAAAAGAAGCAAAAACCAAAAAGAAAAGAAACCAAGAAAGAGGAAGAAAAGAAUGUCCAACAAAAGAAAAAGAAAAAGAAAAAUAAAUACAAUAUAAUAAUAAUAAUAAAUAUAAAUGGUCAUAUAUUUUAAAUUAAAACAAAACUACUAUUUAACAAAAUAAAACAAAAUAAAAAUGUUUUUCCGAAAUGCGCACACAAAGACUCAAACCCA
rnacentral:lncRNA from 1 species